rnacentral:rRNA from 1 species
GACGAACGCUGGCGGCGUGCUAAACACAUGCAAGUCGAACGGAAAGGCCCUGCUUUUGUGGGGUGCUCGAGUGGCGAACGGGUGAGUAGCACGUGAGUAACCUGCCCUUGACUUUGGGAUAACUUCAGGAAACUGGGGCUAAUACCGGAUAGGAGCUCCUGCUGCAUGGUGGGGGUUGGAAAGUUUCGGCGGUUGGGGAUGGACUCGCGGCUUAUCAGCUUGUUGGUGGGGUAGUGGCUUACCAAGGCUUUGACGGGUAGCCGGCCUGAGAGGGUGACCGGCCACAUUGGGACUGAGAUACGGCCCAGACUCCUACGGGAGGCAGCAGUGGGGAAUAUUGCACAAUGGGCGGAAGCCUGAUGCAGCAACGCCGCGUGCGGGAUGACGGCCUUCGGGUUGUAAACCGCUUUCGCCUGUGACGAAGCGUGAGUGACGGUAAUGGGUAAAGAAGCACCGGCUAACUACGUG